UACAGAGGGUGCAAGCGUCAAUCGGAAUUACUGGGCGUAAAGCGCACGUAGGCGGUUUUUUAAGUCAGAUGUGAAAGCCCCGGGCUCAACCUGGGAAUUGCAUUUGAAACUGGGAAACUAGAGUGUGUGAGAGGGGGGUAGAAUUCCAAGUGUAGCGGUGAAAUGCGUAGAGAUUUGGAGGAAUACCAGUGGCGAAGGCGGCCCCCUGGCACAACACUGACGCUCAGGUGCGAAAGCGUGGGGAGCAAACAGG
rnacentral:rRNA from 1 species